rnacentral:rRNA from 1 species
AUUGAACGCUGGCGGCAGGCCUAACACAUGCAAGUCGAACGGUAACAGGAAGAAGCUUGCUUCUUUGCUGACGAGUGGCGGACGGGUGAGUAAUGUCUGGGAAACUGCCUGAUGGAGGGGGAUAACUACUGGAAACGGUAGCUAAUACCGCAUAACGUCGCAAGACCAAAGAGGGGGACCUUCGGGCCUCUUGCCAUCGGAUGUGCCCAGAUGGGAUUAGCUAGUAGGUGGGGUAACGGCUCACCUAGGCGACGAUCCCUAGCUGGUCUGAGAGGAUGACCAGCCACACUGGAACUGAGGCACGGUCCAGACUCCUACGGGAGGCAGAAGUGGGGAAUAUUGCACAAUGGGCGCAAGCCUGAUGCAGCCAUGCCGCGUGUAUGAAGAAGGCCUUCGGGUUGUAAAGUACUUUCAGCGGGGAGGAAGGGAGUAAAGUUAAUACCUUUGCUCAUUGACGUUACCCGCAGAAGAAGCACCGGCUAACUCCGUG